rnacentral:rRNA from 1 species
UACGAAGGGGGCUAGCGUUGUUCGGAAUUACUGGGCGUAAAGGGCGCGCAGGCGGCCCCUCCAAGUCAGGCGUGAAAGCCCCGGCUCAACCCGGGAAUAGCGCUUGAGACUGGGGGGCUUGAGUUCGGGAGAGGAGAGUGGAAUUCCCAGUGUAGAGGUGAAAUUCGUAGAUAUUGGGAAGAAACACCGGUGGCGAAGGCGGCGACCUGGUCCUUUACUGACGCUGAGGCGCGAAAGCGUGGGGAGCAAACAGG